GCCCUUUGUAGGUUUAAAGAGGCAUAAUCAGCUGUGUUUUUCUGUAAUUAGAACGCUAUAACGCUGUUAACCAUAUUUUAUACUUUUUAAAACAAUGUAUCUAAACAUAUCUUAUGUGGGUUUACAUUUUACUUUAUGAUUUUGCCCAUAACAUUUUUAUGUUGUUAAUUUAUUUAUUAUUUUUAAAUCUAUAACAAACACUUAUUGACAAAGAUCGACUCUAUAAGUCGUACAGUCACGGACCUAUAUAUGGUUUAUAGGUCCGUGGUACAAUGCAACAGGAAUUGUGACAAUGUCUCUUUAAUACCUGAUGGAUAACUGAUGAAAUAGGUCAAGGAAUGUAAAGCCAGUGUCAUGUGACAAGUCGGUAUAAAUUGAGGGUUUCGCAUCAGCAUAAACAUUUACAAACUAACACAAACACAGACGCAAACAUACAGAGGAAACUAUUCGACAUUAUCAAAGAUUUAAGAAAGAAGACAACACCAAAUGUCUGACAAGAAGAACACUAGCGCUUUACUUCCCGUAGCCAUGGCAACGCUUUUCCAAAGCGGUUGUUUCUUGGGUGUCGGUAUAUUACGUCCAACGCUAACGUUUCUGCCGAAAGAUCCAGUGACGUUAAUAGGACUAGUGUACGGAUUGGCUGCGGUGGACAUGUUUGUGUAUUUCUACUAUAAGAAUGGACGGAAUAAUAAACAAGAGUGAUCUACCUGUUCACAUGAUGGUUUAAAAGUCAAACUGAAGGACGAUAGUACUUAGUAGUUAAUAUUUAUCAUGAUAUCAAUUGUUAUUUCAUAUCGAAGCAUGUACUGAUUUAUAGCAAACUACCGCUGGUUCACUGUAUGGCUUACAAUAUAUUAUGAAAUAAAUGAAAAAGAGACAA